rnacentral:rRNA from 1 species
CCUACGGGUGGCAGCAGUAGGGAAUAUUGGACAAUGGGGGCAACCCUGAUCCAGCAAUGCCGCGUGAGUGAUGAAGGCCUUAGGGUUGUAAAGCUCUUUUACCAGAGAUGAUAAUGACAGUAUCUGGGGAAUAAGCCCCGGCUAACUCCGUGCCAGCAGCCGCGGUAAUACGGAGGGGGCUAGCGUUGUUCGGAAUUACUGGGCGUAAAGCGCACGUAGGCGGCGAUUUAAGUCAGAGGUGAAAGCCCGGGGCUCAACCCCGGAACUGCCUUUGAGACUGGAUUGCUAGAAUCUUGGAGAGGCGGGUGGAAUUCCGAGUGUAGAGGUGAAAUUCGUAGAUAUUCGGAAGAACACCAGUGGCGAAGGCGGCCCGCUGGACAAGUAUUGACGCUGAGGUGCGAAAGCGUGGGGAGCAAACAGGAUUAGAUACCCGCGUAGUC